AACGAACGCUGGCGGCAUGCCUAACACAUGCAAGUCGAACGAGACCUUCGGGUCUAGUGGCGCACGGGUGCGUAACGCGUGGGAACCUGCCCUUAGGUUCGGAAUAACUCCCCGAAAGGGGUGCUAAUACCGGAUAAUGUCUUCGGACCAAAGAUUUAUCGCCUUUGGAUGGGCCCGCGUUGGAUUAGCUAGUUGGUAGGGUAAAGGCCUACCAAGGCGACGAUCCAUAGCUGGUCUGAGAGGAUGAUCAGCCACACUGGGACUGAGACACGGCCCAGACUCCUACGGGAGGCAGCAGUGGGGAAUAUUGGACAAUGGGCGAAAGCCUGAUCCAGCAAUGCCGCGUGAGUGAUGAAGGCCUUAGGGUUGUAAAGCUCUUUUAACCGGGAUGAUAAUGACAGUACCGGGAGAAUAAGCGCCGGCUAACUCCGUG
rnacentral:rRNA from 1 species